rnacentral:rRNA from 1 species
UACGAAGGGGGCUAGCGUUGCUCGGAAUCACUGGGCGUAAAGGGUGCGUAGGCGGGUCUUUAAGUCAGGGGUGAAAUCCUGGAGCUCAACUCCAGAACUGCCUUUGAUACUGAAGAUCUUGAGUUCGGGAGAGGUGAGUGGAACUGCGAGUGUAGAGGUGAAAUUCGUAGAUAUUCGCAAGAACACCAGUGACGAAGGCGGCUCACUGGCCCGAUACUGACGCUGAGGCACGAAAGCGUGGGGAGCAAACAGGG